UACGAAGGGGGCUAGCUUUGCUCGGAAUCACUGGGCGUAAAGCGCACGUAGGCGGAUUGCUAAGUCAGGGGUGAAAUCCUGGAGCUCAACUCCAGAACUGCCUUUGAUACUGGCGAUCUUGAGUCCGGGAGAGGUGAGUGGAACUGCGAGUGUAGAGGUGAAAUUCGUAGAUAUUCGCAAGAACACCAGUGGCGAAGGCGGCUCACUGGCCCGGUACUGACGCUGAGGUGCGAAAACGUGGGGAGCAAACAGG
rnacentral:rRNA from 1 species